AGGGCAACAGCCCAGAUCGUCAGCUAAGGUCCCUAAAUGUAAGUUAAGUGGUAAAGGAUGUGGGAUUGCACAGACAACCAGGAUGUUGGCUUAGAAGCAGCCACUCAUUCAAAGAGUGCGUAAUAGCCCACUGGUCGAGUGAUCCUGCGCCGAAGAUUUCCGGGGCUAAAACUUACUACCGAAGCUACGGCAUCAGUAAUGA
rnacentral:rRNA from 1 species